rnacentral:misc_RNA from 1 species
AGCAGCCGCGGUAAUUCCAGCUCCAAUAGCGUAUAUUAAAGUUGUUGCAGUUAAAAAGCUCGUAGUUGAAUUUCGGGAUUGACACAUCGGUCGUGCCUUAAGGGGUAUGAACUGGUGUAGUCAAUUUCUCACCUUCUGGAGAACCGCGAUGCCCUUAAUUGGGUGUCGCGGGGAACCAGGACCUUUACUUUGAAAAAAUUAGAGUGUUUAAAGCAGGCAUUUUGCUUGAAUACAUUAGCAUGGAAUAAUAAAAUAGGACGGCAUGAUUCUAUUUUGUUGGUUUCUAGGAUCACCGUAAUGAUUAAUAGGGAUAGUUGGGGGCAUUAGUAUUCAAUUGUCAGAGGUGAAAUUCUUGGAUUUAUUGAAGACUAACUACUGCGAAAGCAUUUGCCAAGGAUGUUUUCAUUAAUCAAGAACGAAAGUUAGGGGAUCGAAGACGAUCAGAUACCGUCGUAGUCU